GCAGACACAUUCCAGCCAAUCAGCAGCAGACCCUCCCUCCCAGACCCUCCCACCUCCUGGACAGCAUCACAUUUUGCAUUCACAAUGAAUGUAAAAUGGAGCUGUCCAGGAGGUGGGAGGGUCUGGGAGGGAGGGUCUGCUGCUGAUUGGCUGGAAUGUGUCUG
rnacentral:miRNA from 1 species